rnacentral:rRNA from 1 species
AUCAACGCUGGCGGCGUGCCUAACACAUGCAAGUCGAACGAGAAAGUGGAGCAAUCCAUGAGUAAAGUGGCGACCGGGUGAGUAACACGUGACUAACCUACCUCCGAGUGGGGAAUAACUCCGGGAAACCGGGGCUAAUACCGCAUAACAUCGCAAGAUCAGAGCAGCAAUGCGCUUGGAGAGGGGGUCGCGGCUGAUUAGCUAGUUGGUGAGGUAACGGCCCACCAAGGCGAAGAUCGGUAUCCGGCCUGAGAGGGCGCACGGACACACUGGAACUGAAACACGGUCCAGACUCCUACGGGAGGCAGCAGUGGGGAAUUUUGCGCAAUGGGGGAAACCCUGACGCAGCAACGCCGCGUGGAGGAUGAAGCCCUUUGGGGCGUAAACUCCUUUCGACCGGGACGAUUAUGACGGUACCGGUGGAAGAAGCACCGGCUAACUACUGUGCCAGGCAGCCGCGGUCAUACAGUAGGGUGCCAAGCGUUAGUCCGGAAUUACUGGGCGUAAAGAGGUGCGUAGGGUGCAUGGUAAGUCACAUAGUGAAAUCAUACUGGCUCAACCUGGAUGCCCUUAGGCGAAACUGCCAGUGCUGGAGUGCGGGAGAGGUGCGUGGAAUUCCCAGGUGUAGGAGUGAAAUGCCGUAGAUAUUGGGAGGAACACCUGAUGGCGUAAGGCAGGAUACUAGCCCCUAACUGACAGCUGAGGCAGCGAAAGCGUAGGGGAGCAAACGGAUUAGAUACCCCUGGUAGUCCUAGCCCUAAACGAUGGAUGCUAGGCUGUUAUGCAGGUACCCAAUCCUGCUGUAGCCGCAGCUAACGCGAUUAAGCAAUCCGCCUGGGGAGUACGGUCCGCAAGGCUGAAACAUAAAGGAAUUGACGGGGACCCGCACAAGCGGUGGAGCAUGUGGUUCAAUACGAAAGUAACGCGUAAGAACCUCACCUAGGGCUUGACAGCGCAGGGAAGAGGUUCGAGAAAAUUGCCUUCUCGCAAGAGACCUGAUGACGGAGGUGUUGCAUGGCCGUCGUCAGCUCGUGUCGUGAGAUGUUGGGUUAAGUCCAGCAACGAGCGCAACCCUUAUGCAUAGUUGAAUUUUUCUAUUCAGACUGCCCCGGUAACGGGGAGGAAGGAGGGAAUGAUGUCAGGUCAGUAUUGCCCUUACGCCUUGGGCCACAGACACGCUACAAUGGCCGGUACAGAGGGCUGCCAAGUCGCGAGACGGAGCAAAUCCCAUCAAAGCCGGUCCCAGUUCGGAUUGUAGGCUGAAACCCGCCUACAUGAAGCCGGAAUCGCUAGUAAUGGCAGGUCAGCAUACUGCCGUGAAUACGUUCCCGGGUCUUGUACACACCGCCCGUCAAGUCAUGAAAGUCACCAAUACCUGACGUGCCAAUUUAUUUGGCCCUAGGGUAGGGGCGAUGAUUGGGACUAAGUCGUAACAAGGUAA